GACGAACGCUGGCGGCGUGCUUAACACAUGCAAGUCGAACGGAAAGGCCCUGCUUUUGUGGGGUGCUCGAGUGGCGAACGGGUGAGUAACACGUGAGUAACCUGCCCUUGACUUUGGGAUAACUUCAGGAAACUGGGGCUAAUACCGGAUAGGAGCUCCUGCUGCAUGGUGUUGGUUGGAAAGUUUCGGCGGUGGGGGAUGGACUCGCGGCUUAUCAGCUUGUUGGUGGGGUAGUGGCUUACCAAGGCUUUGACGGGUAGCCGGCCUGAGAGGGUGACCGGCCACAUUGGGACUGAGAUACGGCCCAGACUCCUACGGGAGGCAGCAGUGGGGAAUAUUGCACAAUGGGCGGAAGCCUGAUGCAGCAACGCCGCGUGCGGGAUGACGGCCUUCGGGUUGUAAACCGCUUUCGCCUGUGACGAAGCGUGAGUGACGGUAACGGGUAAAGAAGCACCGGCUAACUACGUG
rnacentral:rRNA from 1 species